rnacentral:rRNA from 1 species
UGGGGAAUCUUCCGCAAUGGACGAAAGUCUGACGGAGCAACGCCGCGUGAGUGAAGACGGUUUUCGGGUUGUAAAGCUCUGUGAUCCGGGACGAAAGAGCCUGAGGUAAAUAGCCUAAGGAAGUGACGGUACCGGAAAAGCAAGCCACGGCUAACUACGUGCCAGCAGCCGCGGUAAUACGUAGGUGGCAAGCGUUGUCCGGAAUUAUUGGGCGUAAAGCGCGCGCAGGCGGCUUCCUAAGUCCAUCUUAAAAGUGCGGGGCUUAACCCCGUGAUGGGAUGGAAAAUGGGAAGCUGGAGUAUCGGGGAGGAAAGUGGAAUUCCUAGUGUAGCGGUGAAAUGCGUAGAGAUUAGGAAGAACACCGGUGGCGAAGGCGACUUUCUGGACGAAAACUGACGCUGAGGCGCGAAAGCGUGGGGAGCAAACAGG